ACAGGCUUAACACAUGCAAGUCGAGGGGCAGCAUGGUCUUAGCUUGCUAAGGCUGAUGGCGACCGGCGCACGGGUGAGUAACACGUAUCCAACCUGCCGUCUACUCUUGGCCAGCCUUCUGGAAGGAAGAUUAAUCCAGGAUGGGAUCAUGAGUUCACAUGUCCGCGUGAUUAAAGGUAUUUUCCGGUAGACGAUGGGGAUGCGUUCCAUUAGAUAGUAGGCGGGGUAACGGCCCACCUAGUCAACGAUGGAUAGGGGUUCUGAGAGGAAGGUCCCCCACAUUGGAACUGAGACACGGUCCAAACUCCUACGGGAGGCAGCAGUGAGGAAUAUUGGUCAAUGGGCGAUGGCCUGAACCAGCCAAGUAGCGUGAAGGAUGACUGCCCUAUGGGUUGUAAACUUCUUUUAUAAAGGAAUAAAGUCGGGUAUGCAUACCCGUUUGCAUGUACUUUAUGAAUAAGGAUCGGCUAACUCCGUGCCAGCAGCCGCGGUAAUACGGAGGAUCCGAGCGUUAUCCGGAUUUAUUGGGUUUAAAGGAAGCGUAGAUGGAUGUUUAAGUCAGUUGUGAAAGUUUGCGGCUCAACCGUAAAAUUGCAGUUGAUACUGGAUGUCUUGAGUGCAGUUGAGGCAGGCGGAAUUCGUGGUGUAGCGGUGAAAUGCUUAGAUAUCACGAAGAACUCCGAUUGCGAAGGCAGCCUGCUAAGCUGCAACUGACAUUGAGGCUCGAAAGUGUGGGUAUCAAACAGG
rnacentral:rRNA from 1 species